ACCCUUGACUCUGGUAAUCUACUACUAUACCAAACUGAAGUGCCACAUUGUGGGGAAACUCCCCGCGGUAAUUAACCUCCUCUGUUUGUUAUUUGCAGCUGUUGCUGCUGCUGUAGCAUGGAAGCACUGCCAGGCGUAUACCACAGUAAGUGACACUGCCACUUUGCUGUAAAAAAUUGGUGAAUCCGAAUCUUAUUCUGAUCAAUUGACUCUGUUUUAACAGACAAAGAAGUUGCUUCCCUGGGGCUUCUAUACUGCUCUCAGGUAGUUCUCGAUUGUCUCUUUAUCGUGUUUCAGCUGCUCAUUGCACACUUCUGUCCCCCUUACAACUUCCCUUGUCGCCAGUGCCUUGAUGAUCUGCUUCUACUCGUAUGUGUUGCUUGCCGGGGGGAAUCCACCACCGAAGAAGAAGCCAGCAGCUGCUAUAUAAGUUGAUCCUUUAGUCCUAUUGUGGUCAAAGUUGUGCUCUGGUAAAUGUUACUGAUGGUAGGGGUGCAUUUUAUUACUUUUAAUUGUAGAACACUGAAAAAUAAUAGAGUUGUGUUCUUGAGUACAGUUCAUUCAGGUAUCUUUGUUACUUAGUGGAAGAUUCAGAGCAGAUACGAUUUGCGCUGGUUCUACAUGAACUUUUGUUC
rnacentral:lncRNA from 1 species